CCUGGCCCUCAGAGGUGGUAAGACAGCAGCGAUAGUAGAAUCUAUCCCAAAUUCAGUGAUUUAAAACGUGAAACACAUGUGCAUCACAGCACGAUGCAAUCCAGUACUGAAGGUAGAGGGAAGGGGAAAAAACUAGGAAGAGUAGUACUGCCACAGAGGCCACGGUACUGCCACAAUGUGAAGUCCUGCCACAGAGGCCACUGUACUGCCACUAUGUUAAGUACUGCCGCAGAGGCCACAGUACUGCUGCAAUGGGAAGUACUGUCACAGAGCCCGCAGUACUGCUGCAAUGUGAAGGAGUAACAGGGUUAAAAACAUACUGCAUUGAUGUCCCUUUCAGUAUUCUAGAUUUUCAGUAUCACCAAGGCUAGCCAGUCUUGCUGCUUUCAAAGCUAUGUUGAAAGGCUAUAAGUAGUUUUACUGUCAUUUUGAUGAUCUGCAUUUUCUAACUCUCUUAAAUUGAAUCUAGAUUAUGUGUGUAAUAUUUUUAAAGCCAUAACGUGUGAUUCGAUGUUUUCUUGUUUCAUCUAGGUUAAUUUUACUAUUUCUUGUACAUGUCCUAACAUUGAUAUCCAGGGAGGAGCAUCUACGUACAGAAUAACUACAUUGGAGAAGUUGAAAUAAGUGUUCGUGAGAUGAUUUUGCACAAUGAUCACCCACACUGUAACAUGCACACUGCUGGCAAGCAACAGUUGGCCAGCAAGGGCUUCACAGGUAAAAGGUGCUAGUUACGUGGCUGUUUCCAGGAGAACUCUUGAUGUUUUAAGGGCUUUGCAGUCCUUCCCAUUUGAAAGCGGAGCAGCACCAUCUAGUUGUGAAAACCAAGAGUGCAGGCUCCCUUUUUCCUUCUACUGUGGGUCUUGGCAACACUUCCCAGAUUAAACAAUUGGUUCUCAGACCUGCUUCCAUUUUUAUUAAUAAGACAAUUACAUAGUCAAGUUUCUGUGGCUGUUAGUGAUACA
rnacentral:lncRNA from 10 species